UGAAUACGAGAUGCUACGGCGUCGAAGCAGUGUAUGUCAGACUUCCAAGAAAAGCUCGCAAUGUCAUAAAUAAAGAAUGCCUGUACCAUAACCGACACAGGUGGGUAGGUAGAGUAUACUAAGGGGCGCGAGAUAACUCUCUCUAAGGAACUCGGCAAAAUAACUCCGUAACUUCGGGAGAAGGAGUGCCUUCUUUAAGAAGGUUGCAAUAACAAGAUCCAAGCAACUGUUUAUCAAAAACACAGGUCUCCGCUAAGUCGUAAGACGAUGUAUGGGGGCUGACGCCUGCCCAGUGCCAGAAGGUUAAAGAAGUUGGUUAGCUUUUGCGAAGCUGAUGACUGAAGCCCUGGUGAACGGCGGCCGUAACUAUAACGGUCCUAAGGUAGCGAAAUUCCUUGUCGGGUAAGUUCCGACCCGCACGAAAGGCGUAAUGAUUUGGAUACUGUCUCGGAGAGGGACUCGGUGAAAUAGACUUGUCUGUGAAGAUGCGGACUACCUGCACCAGGACAGAAAGACCCUAUGAAGCUUUACUGUAACUUGAAAUUGAAAUUGGACUUUAUUUGCGCAGUAUAGGUGGAAGGCGUUGAAAGUAAUCUUGCGGGAUUAGUGGAGCCAUCAGUGAGAUACCACUCCUAUAAUGUUAGAUUUCUAACUUUGGAUCAUGAUCUGGUCAAAGAACAGUUUCAGGCGGGCAGUUUGACUGGGGCGGUCGCCUCCCAAAUGGUAACGGAGGCGUACAAAGGUUUCCUCUGAACGGGUAGAAAUCGUAUCUAGAGUGUAAAGGCAUAAGGAAGCUUGACUGUGAGACCUACAAGUCGAGCAGGGACGAAAGUCGGUCUUAGUGAUCUGACGGUGCUGAGUGGAAAGGCCGUCACUCAACGGAUAAAAGUUACUCUAGGAUAACAGGCUGAUCUCCCCCAAGAGUUCACAUCGACGGGGAGGUUUGGCACCUCGAUGUCGGCUCAUCGCAUCCUGGGGCGGUAGUACGUCCCAAGGGUUGGGCUGUUCGCCCAUGAAAGCGGUACGCGAGCUGGGUUCAGAACGUCGUGAGACAGUUCGGUCCAUAUCCGGUGUAGGCGUUAGAAUAUUGAGAGGAGCCUUCUUUAGUACGAGAGGACCGAGAAGGACAUACCUCUGGUGUACCAGUUAUCGUGCCAACGGUAAACGCUGGGUAGCUAUGUAUGGAGAGGAUAACCGCUGAAAGCAUCUAAGUGGGAAGCCCACCUCAAGAUGAGUAUUCCC
rnacentral:rRNA from 1 species